GCGUAACACGUAAGCAACCUGCCCUGAAGUGGGGGAUAGCCCGCCGAGAGGCGGAUUAAUACCGCAUGUGGAUAUGUCCCGCAUGAGAUGAUAUCUAAAACAGCAAUGUGCUUCAGGAUGGGCUUGCGGCCUAUCAGCUAGUUGGUGGGGUAACGGCCUACCAAGGCGACGACGGGUAGCUGGUCUGAGAGGAUGGUCAGCCGGAUUGGGACUGAGACACGGCCCAGACUCCUACGGGGGGCAGCAGUGGGGAAUCUUGCGCAAUGGGGGAAACCCUGACGCAGCAACGCCGCGUGGGUGAUGAAGGCCUUCGGGUCGUAAAGCCCUGUCGGGUGGGAAGAAACUUGUUGAUGCCAAUACCAUCAACACUUGACGGUACCACCGGAGGAAGCACCGGCUAACUCCGUGCCAGCAGCCGCGGUAAUACGGAGGGUGCAAGCGUUGUUCGGAAUUAUUGGGCGUAAAGCGCGUGCAGGCGGUUAUGUAAGUCAGAUGUGAAAGCCUUCCGCUUAACGGGAGAAGUGCAUUUGAAACUACAUGACUAGAGUACGGGAGAGGAGAGUGGAAUUCCCAGUGUAGCGGUGAAAUGCGUAGAUAUUGGGAGGAACACCUGUGGCGAAGGCGGCUACCUGGACAGUGACUGACGCUGAUGCGCGAAAGCUAGGGGAGCAAACGGGAUUAGAUACCCCGGUAGUCCUAGCUGUAAACGAUGGGCACUUGGUGUCGGGGGUAUUGAGUCCCCCGGUGCCGGAGUUAACACGUUAAGUGCCCCGCCUGGGGAGUACGGUCGCAAGACUGAAACUCAAAGGAAUUGACGGGGGCCCGCACAAGCGGUGGAGCAUGUGGUUCAAUUCGACGCAACGCGAAGAACCUUACCGGGGCUCGACGGUAACUGCAAACCCCUGAAAGGGGGCUUUCUCUUCGGAGACGGUUAUCGAGGUGCUGCAUGGCUGUCGUCAGCUCGUGUCGUGAGAUGUUGGGUUAAGUCCCGCAACGAGCGCAACCCUUGCCCUUAGUUGCUACCAGGUAAAGCUGAGCACCCUAAGGGGACUGUCGGCGAAAAGCCGGAGGAAGGUGGGGAUGACGUCAAGUCCUCAUGGCCCUUACGUCCCGGGCUACACACGUGCUACAAUGGUCGGUACAAAGGGUCGCCAACCCGCGAGGGGGAGCUAAUCCCAAAAAGCCGACCUCAGUUCGGAUUGCAGUCU
rnacentral:rRNA from 1 species